CUACGGGGGGCACCAGUGAGGAAUAUUGCACAAUGGGGGGAACCCUGAUGCAGCAACGCCGCGUGGAGGAUGACGCAUUUCGGUGUGUAAACUCCUUUUAUAUGUCAAGAAAAUGACGGUAGCAUAUGAAUAAGCACCGGCUAACUCCGUGCCAGCAGCCGCGGUAAUACGGAGGGUGCAAGCGUUACUCGGAAUCACUGGGCGUAAAGGACGCGUAGGCGGGUUGGAAAGUCAGGUGUGAAAUCCUACAGCUUAACUGUAGAACUGCACUUGAAACUUCUAAUCUAGAGUAUGGGAGGGGGAGAUGGAAUUAGUGGUGUAGGGGUAAAAUUCGUAGAUAUCACUAGGAAUACCUAAAGCGAAGGCGAUCUCCUGGAACAUUACUGACGCUAAGGCGUGAAAGCGUGGGGAGCAAACAGGAUUAGAUACCCUAGUACUC
rnacentral:rRNA from 1 species